AUGGCCGGUGGCAGCCUGGAGACGGCGUGGGAGCUCGCCGAACUUUUCGUCCUCCGCCCCGUCCUGGCCGUCACCUUCGUCAUAUCAUUCAUCCUGCUGAGCUGGUAUGUGGCGUGGAGGACGGUGCUGGUGCACGUCCCGCUCGUGCAGGAGAUCGCCGGGCUGCGCCGGAAGAAGCCCGUCAAGCCCAAGCCCCCCAACCGCGGGCGCAUCGCCAGGUUCUACGAGUCGCAAGCCCAGAGGUGA
rnacentral:rRNA from 1 species